rnacentral:misc_RNA from 1 species
GAAAUGCGAUGAGUAGUGUGAAUUGCAGAAUUCAGUGAAUCAUCGAAUCUUUGAACGCACAUUGCGCCCCUUGGUAUUCCAUGGGGCAUGCCUGUUCGAGCGUCAUUUGUACCCUCAAGCUCUGCUUGGUGUUGGGUGUUUGUCCCCGUCUCCGCGCGUGGACUCGCCCCAAAGUGAUUGGCAGCCGGCGUACUGGUCCCGGAGCGCAGCACAUGUCGCGCAAACGAGUGCCUUGGUACGGCGGCGUCCAUAAGCCCCUCUCUCACGCUCUUGACCUCGGAUCAGGUAGGGAUACCCGCUGAACUUAAGC